rnacentral:tRNA from 1 species
CGGAAUGAAGUUCCCUGGAUUGAGUAUUUAGUUGUUAAUAAAUAUUGCGGAUAUAUGGUCCGCUUAG